rnacentral:lncRNA from 1 species
UAUACUAAAUUCAGCAUAAUUUACUCCAUUUAUUAGGACCAGUGCAUCACUUAUUGGGACCAGUAGAAUCAGUUCAGAUUCGUUUAAAAUAUUGAGAUAGGGCAAUGAGGUCUGAAAGGAUUGCAUUUUUGUGUAUGUGACUUGUAAUUAUUAAUGACAUCAACUAUUUGAUAAUGACGUCAACAAAAGAAAUGUUAAUUAUAGCAGUUGAUUCUAUGCAGAAAGGAAACAAAAGCAGUUCCAUGUUUGCACUGGAUAAAUGCUAUGAUUUUGUUCAUAAGAAAUCAAUUGAGUGUGUACAACAAUUAACAUUGGAUAAGUUCAUAAUAGCUUUGAAAACAUUGCAUUUCCAUGCACAUGAUCUGUCACAUGCACAGAAAUACAACAAUUUCAACACAGCUGAAUAUUUCAUUAAUUGUAAGCCAGUCACAAAUGUUUUUAAUUGCUUCCAUU